CAAUCAAUCACAUUCAACUACAUAGAGGUCCUCAGCCAAUCACAUUCAACUACAUAGAGGUCCUCAGCCAAUCACAUUCAACUACAUAGAGGUCCUCAGCCAAUCACAUUCAACUACAUAGAGGUCCUCAGCCAAUCACAUUCAACUACAUAGAGGUCCUCAGCCAAUCACAUUCAACUACAUAGAGGUCCUCAGCCAAUCACAUUCAACUACAUAGAGGUCCUCAGCCAAUCACAUUCAACUACAUAGAGGUCCUCAGCCAAUCACAUUCAACUACAUAGAGGUCCUCAGCCAAUCACAUUCAACUACAUAGAGGUCCUCGGCCAAUCAUUUCAACUGCCUGAGUGGCACCAGUACGCCUCGCUGCAGUGAACUCUACUUAUUGUUCCACAAAUUAGGGGCAAAGAAACUAAACGCAGAUUUUCCUAAAUCUGUGGAGACUGAAGGGAUCGAGUGUUAUCCGUUCCUAUGAACGUGUUUGGUAACUUAUUAUUCUUAUCAAAAUGAAUUUUCAUAUGGAGGGAGUCUGUCACAUUGCUUUGUAAAUAAAUAAGAGAAUGCAGCCCUCUUCUUGC